AUGACUAUGCGCCCAUUGUCUUUGACAAUGUCAUUUCAAAUUUUUCCUUCAUCACAAGCUUCAUCUCCUUUCCCGUUCAGCAACCACCGUCUUCGCCGCCGUCAAUCCCUUUGCGCCGCGGUCGUCUCUUCUCCUUCACAGUUCUAUUUUCCCCCAACUGAGCCGUUGCUAGUUGCUACCUUCUGCUGUGAGUUACAAGAGGCUAUCCAUUUCAUCCACUAUGAAGUUUACAUGUUUGAGCAAAGGAAGAGGCUUUCACUUCCCACCAUGUCACAUGCUGAAUUUUUGUGGGAUUAG